AUUGAACGCUGGCGGCAGGCCUAACACAUGCAAGUCGAACGGUAGCAGGAAGCAGCUUGCUGCUUCGCUGACGAGUGGCGGACGGGUGAGUAAUGUCGGGGAAGCUGCUUGAUGGAGGGGGAUAACUACUGGAAACGGUAGCUAAUACCGCAUAAUGUCGCAAGAGCAAAGAGGGGGACCGUCGGGCGGCUUGGCAUCGGAUGUGCCCAGAUGGGAUUAGCUUGUUGGUGGGGUAACGGCUCACCAAGGCGACGAUCCCUAGCUGGUCUGAGAGGAUGACCAGCCACACUGGGACUGAGACACGGUCCAGACUCCUACGGGAGGCAGCAGUAGGGAAUAUUGCACAAUGGGCGCAAGCCUGAUGCAGCCAUGCCGCGUGUAUGAAGAGGGCCUUCGGGUUGUAAAGUACUUUCAGCGGGGAGGAAGGGAGUAAAGUUAAUACCUUUGCUCAUUGACGUUACCCGCAGAAGAAGCACCGGCUAACUCCGUG
rnacentral:rRNA from 1 species